GCGCCGGCAAGGUUGCGAGACCUAUAAUGGACCCGCUAGUCACUGCCUAUAUGAUGACUUGUCCUUGUUCUGUAACGGGUGGCUGGCGGCUUUGGCCGAGGAAUGGUUAGGAUAGCUGGCGUGAGUGAAUUGGCUGUAAUCUUCCUCCUCUCUCGUUGAAACUUGCAUGAACAGAGCUGAGAUCUGAGUGAAUUCAUAGUUAAUUUCGAGAGAACCAAGCUUGGGCUUACACUGCAGCAUCCGAGCGCAGCCGCUGGCGUGUGCGAGCCGCCGCCGCGUGCUGGCCCCCGCGUAUGCUGGCCACGUACGUGCUUGCUGUGGGCGUCCAAGGCCAAUGGAGGCCGCCGCCUUCAGCUCGCUCUUGCCCUGCUGCCUUCAAUGCCUCUAUCAAAUUCUCCGCCCAUUUCUUGCAGAUUAUUCUGUGUAUAUGUCUACAAGGUGCUCGAUGAAAGUCCAAACAGCCUACAGGGGAAGAUUACUUCCUUUUUAUGCUUUUCUGUGUACUCAAUAAUUCUUUCUUCUUCUUCUAAAAUGUAGCUGCAGUCAUCAACAAAUUAGACCCCGCAAGUUCUUCCCCAAAAUGUAGUGUACAUGCAAGAUUAAUACAUUAUCGAAAAUAUGCAAAGCACUUUAAAUAGAUGUUGCAAAGCAUUUUAAAUAGAUGUUGUAUGUUUACUCCCUAGGUUUACUGUAUAUUGAGAUGCAAUACACAUAUGUGAACCAGUGAUAUGUAUGACAUUUUCAAUAGAGAUACUCUUUGUCUUCACCAUUUACUAUUAGACAUGAAAAGCAUCAGCUAUAUAGUAUUAUUCAUUGGAUAUACUGUAUGUUAGCACACAAGGUACAACUCUAUGAAAAAAAACAACUGGAUAUUAUGCAUCUUAUCAAAUUGUUAACUCUUGAGGAGUUUAACUUAAAAAGCUAUUUUCGCAACUAUUGGUACUACUGUAGUCUGUAGAUGUGCAGAGAUCAUUCUAGGGGUAUUAAGAUUAGUUUUCCAAACCAUGUGUAAAUCUAAAUUCUAGGUGUGCAGAGAUCUAUUUUCUCAACUAUUGGUACUAUUGUAGUCUGUAGAGGCGUAGAUAUCUAUUGCUAGCAAUCUAAAUUUCUAGAUCAGCAGCUUGGUCUUAAGCUUACAAAAGACUACUUUGUCUGAGCAAUAAUAGGAUGUAAUUGUUUUGAGUGCUAGACAUGGGUGUUCGUAGAAUUUUGUCCUCACUUCUUGGCCCCAAUUCAGAUUAGUUUUUUUCUUCUCACGAGUGUUAGUUCAUUUGGUGCUUUUGCUGUCAUACUUAGAGCCCUGGUUCAGAAUAGUUUUUUUCCUUCCAGUUCAGGCUAGUGAUUUUUGUAUAUCAAUUUUGUGUUCACAGUUUUGCGUCAGACCAUAGAAGGAUUUUGUCUCAUGCUUUGGCUGUCUUACUCUAUUUUCUAUGCAAAUUUUAGAUCGCCAGUUCGGAUCAUGAUCAUCAUGUCCUCCAAUUACCAUGUAUUCUUACAUUAUUGCAUUAUUGUUUUAUUAGGAUAGAGAUACUAACUCAGUUCGGCGCUAGAGCCACUGAUUUGUAUCUGAUAAUUCUCUGAGUUGAGGUCCUAAUAUCCAUACUAAUAUUGGUUGGUCUGAUCCAGUGUAGACUUGUGGGACUCAUUAUCCUAUUUUUUACUAUGAGGUCUGUUCUUCAUUUGUUUUUCUAGCAAAUGGAACAACAUUCUAUGCAACUUUCAAACAUCUGAAUAAACUCUUUAUCUUUAGCCCACGUACGUAUGGUGGUUGUUCACUCUUUGGUGUUUUGUUUCCUUUCUUCUGAACAAACAGGAAACCCCUGUGCAACUCUCAACAAACAGAACAUAUGUAUCCUUCUGAUGGGUUCAUAGCGUCCUCCGCUGCUGCCUUGUCGCUCUUCGUUGACGCUUCAUGUGGUUGUUUAUCAGGGUCCCUGGGCGUGUGGGGGGGGGGGGGGGGGGUUUGGGGGGGGGGUGUUCGUGGCGUCGGGCUCAAUCCACGAGUCGCCGGAGUCCAUCGGCGUGACGCACCUGCUGGAGAAGCUGGCGUUUGAGGACACGGCGCCGGAGCCACAUGCAGAUCGUGCAGGAGGUAGAGGCCACAGGGGGCAACGUCGGCGCCUCCGCGUCCAGCUGGCCCUUACUCGAGAAGAGGUCCAGGAGGGACAGAAGAACCCUGAGAGGUUUCUUCAGGAACUACUUAACCUUGUUGGAUAUGAGGGGGUGAUCGCGAACCCGCUGAUAGCUCCCAAGGAGGCUCUUGGGAUCAUCAAUGCCGAUAUUUUUCAGAAGUUCUAUCAUAUGACACAUGUUGCACUGGCUUUUGAAGUGCCAGGCGAUUGGCUUCAAGAAAGAGAUGGUACAAUUAUGACUGUCAUACAGGUUGUUUGCUGCAGAAGCAAAACAUGCAUCUGAGGCUGUUGGUACGAUGGGAGUAGCACUUCUUGUUUGCACGUUGCCUGGGCAAGUGACAUCUGAUUGUUUAGGUCCUGAGAAAAUUGAGCUUGGCCUUGGAAUUGAACUCUAACGGAAAUUUGCCUAAAUCUGGUCGUCCACUAAUUCGUGACAACGAAAAUCUGGUUAAACCAUUGUCAGUCGUUUGUCCAGAAUCUUUCCUUCAUAUGUUUCAGACAAAUCAAGGCAACUAUUUUCUUAAAGGACAAAAGGGCCAGGCCUCCCGUCCGCGUCGCGCCGCCGCCGGCAUGGAGCUGGUUAAGGCCACUCAUUUCCAUGGCAGGGUCUGAAAGCUGGGAACAAGAAACAGAAGCCCUCUGUCAUGGAUAUCCUACUGAAUUUGCAUCUUAUUUCCAUUACUGCCACUCACUGCGCUUUGGACUAUCCGUAUCUCAAGUCAUUGUCUAGAGACCAUUUUAUUGGAGAGGGUUUCAGUUUGAUUGUAUUUUUUAUUGGACGAUUCUGAAGUAUAAACAAUUAGAUGACCAGUGCUCCACCGCGCGCUAUGGGCCCGGCAGGAGGACAAGGCUCUGGGAUGGCUUCCAUGGCAAACAGACAGUUAGAUUCAAAGUGAAGAUGUGAUGCAUGUCCACAACUGAACAGUCAAACUGCUGAAAAAGCACCUUCUUUAGAAAGUGAGAAAUUGAAUAUACACAACAGACAACUCUGUGGAGCAAAUACAUGACAAACCCCUCUUUAAAAUGCUCAAGGGAAGUAGUGAGCAGGGCACAGUAUGUGGCAGGGCCGAGUUCUCCAACUCCUGCUUCCAUCACAUGAAGGAUGGUGUAUGUCCAUGCGGCGACUACUGGUAGAUUCAGUGCUGAAUGGCAACCAGGAGCUCAAGAGUGACAAGGACGUCUAUAUCAACACUUCAAUGUGUCGAUGGCGUGCGGUAGACGCAUGAGCUCCUCAUCUACGUCGACCUCCACUGCGGCUCAUGCAGCGCCGACGCCAAGCUGGAGGAGAAGGUGGGCUGAAUGGAAUGGAAAGUACAGAGAUCAUAUUCGAAGGUUCAUCAAGGUACUGUUUGCUAAAUCCUGAUUCCAAUCAUUACCAUUCUCCCAAAUCUCCAUCAUUUCCGUAUAUUAUUAAGACAGAUCAUUAUAUGGCUUUUUCAUACCCAUUUUGUCAUAAGCCAAGUUGCAGAUAUAAAACACAGAAUGAUAAAAGACCAGAACAGCCAAAAAAGAGAAAGAUUACCACAGAAAAAUAUAUAAUUUUCAAGUAUGCAUGAGGCUUCUCUGCAUGUUCAAAUUUACUGACCCAAUUUUUCAUGUACUGCUAUUGCUUCCACUCUGCCUGCCGUUUUAGCCAUCAGUUGAGGAUUUUCCAUACUUGGUUAUAUCAUCGUUAAACAUACUCCCUCCGUCCAAAAGUACUUGUCAGAGAAAUGAAUGUAUCUAGACAUAUAUUAGUUCUAGAUACAUCCAUUUUUAUCCAUUUGUGCGACAAGUAUUUUCGGACGGAGGGAGUACUUUCUUUUGGAGCCCUGUUUCUUGAUGUUUUGAAGUACUUUUUUAUAGCAUUUGUAAGUACCAGAGCUAAAUACAGGAAAUACACAUUAAGGUGUGUGUUUGAGAAAAAUAAUUCCUGAGCUUAAGCCUUCAGCGUAGUUGAAAGUUGAAACUAUACACUUGGUUUAUUCAUUUUUUGUGGAUGCAGAUGUCGAAACAAAAAUGAUGCAACUGAAAUUUCCUUUUUUGAUGUGAUAAUAGUUAGACCCAAAGAACAGAGAUUUAUUUCAUGUGUUAUUUUUACGCAAAGAAGCAUAUGUUGACAUUUCAGGCCUUCUUGAACAAAAACCUAAAACUUCCUCUUGUCAUUUCAGGCCUUCUUGAUUUAUUCUUUUCUUCCACCUUGUUGGUAUUGCUUUCAUAGCAGCUGUAGAGUUCUGCGUUUAAACAGAGUAGUCAGUCAGAGUGAACAUUUUUAUAUACUGUGUACUCAUCACCUUUGGAUGGGUGAAUAGUCAAAUUUCAUAUGGAGAACAGUUCAUUGAUGGAAGAAGUAGCUGGUGCUGAAAGGAUGUCCAGGACCGAUGCAUAUUUUCAUAUUUUUGUGUACUACAAGUAGUUGGGGGCCUGCUAAAUCCCAGAGAAGGCACUGUCUAGCAUCAGGGCUUCAUUUUACAAUCCAAUCAAGUAUUAUGUAAAUUUUGUUUAAUUUUUUUCCUUUUGUUCUGACUGUCAUGGAAAACGAUGAUUCAUUUAAUGUUGGCCUCUUAUUUUAUUUUUGUGUCUUGCUGCUCUACUUUAUGAGUGAAUACACUCCUGCUGCAGUUCUUUUCGGUCUUCUCUUUUGUAAACAACUGGCACUCAGUUGGACUGCAUAUACACAUUAACAAAUGCAGCAUCCGCAGCUGCUGCUCACCGUCCAUCCAUGGUGUCGGCAUUGGUCUCCUUCUCACCUUCCGUGUUCUCUUCCAUACCACUUCCCACUGUCGCCACCACUACUGGAGGUUGAUGACUUGCCACAUGAUGUCUGAUCUUGUACGACCACGUAAAGAUGCAGCACCAACUCCUUGUCAACAAUGAUUUGAAGCAAAUGUGUGUGAUAAAGUGUUCUACAAGUGCUGAUUUUAGUGGUGGAUUAACAUCUUCUUUUAUUUAUAUUUGUUUUGAUUAUGGUGCUUGACCUUAAACGUCUGGGGCAAAAUGCGAGAGAUGGGCUGUCUGAUACUUACCAACUGGCAAAAGGGCGUAUUCUUAACAGACUAUAUGACAGAAAUGAAACGGUGUACUACAAGGUCUUAAUAGAUAAUAUUGAGUAUGCACCUAUUGUCUACACACCGACUGUUUUCACUGUUUGACAAAAUUACGGUGGCUGGUUUAGACGGCCUCGGGGAAUGUAUUUUAGUGGAGAGGAUCGUGGUGAACUGAUGUCCAUUGUGUACAACUGGCCAGCUUAUCAGAUCUACUAGGGCUGGGAGAGCAUCUUCUGAUAACAAGUUUCUUAUAUUUCAAAUAAACACAAGUGACUAAUCUUUCACAUGUCGACAUGAUAGUGGGUGACUGAUGGAAGCAGCAGCUGCUGGAAUCCUUGUUCUCCAUCUUCCAUUUUUUACAUCUAUAUUUUCAUAUUUGACAUCUCUAAUUUUAAAUAACUAUAAUUUGGUAUUUGACCUGCAUGGAUUUUAUUGACAAACAAAAACAAUGUUUUGCUAUAUAAUCUGAUUGUCCCAAUCAGCCUUUUCUCAUAAUAGUUGAGGGAGAUACAUUUCUUUUA